UUACUUGAACUUCCUCCCUUUGCGCCCCCCCCUCCCCAAAAGAGCUUUGAGUUUCCUGUGGCAAAGGGGCGGAAGAAAAAAAAAAAUCCUCACUCUCGCCGGGCCCAGAAAGAGCAAGAAAAGGCAGGGAAAUUCGUCAGUUCCAGGCUGGCUUUUGUGCUUUCGCUUUGGCCUCAGCAGACAAAACAAAUCCCCGCCUCUGUCUUCGCGAGGGAGUUCCUGCGGUCGAAGAACCAACCCCACCGACUGCGACUCCCGCUCCACGCGAGGUGGAAGGAGCCCGACGAGCCUCUCUCUCUCUCUCUCUCUCCCACGCCCCGCCAGAAACCCCCUCUCCACAUUCCGCUUGGGCCUUGCACCCAGCGCUUAAACUAAACGGGCGCCUCCGUUGGACUGGCCCGAAGGGAAAAGUAGCCCGCCUGCUUGGCUUCCCCUUGGGCGCAAAGGCGGCGGAAUGAAGCCCGCCUGAACUCCCGGAGCGGCCAGAGCCCUUGCAAGCCGGAGAGAGGAAGUCGCCUGCAGAGGAGAUCCGGAGCACAUUCUCCGCCAGCCAUCUUCUUUUUUGCCUUCUUCCCCGCUCUGAUCCACGCCCUCCUUUAUCCGCUUAAUCCUCCGGGAAGGGAACCUGCCUUUCUCUUCAGCUUCUCGGGCUCGAGGCGUCCAAGGAGCAAAAGGUCCGCGCGGGUACCUUCCAGAUUGGUGAUGAUGUAGCUGGAAAUGAUGGCAGUUGUAGUCCUUCACAUUUGAAUGCGGAUGAGAACUGCCACAUUUUGCCCCUCUCUCUCCUGAGACUCUAAUGAAGAAGUUCCAAAAUGUAUUAGCAGGUUUGGAGUCUUGAAAGAGAACCAUGCUGUGUGAAGAAGCUCAUUUUAUUCUCAGCAUCCACCAACCUCAGCUCAUUUUGAGCAUUAGCCUUUUGGAUGCCACCUCUAUCAUUCCAAACUACCCAUUUAUACCACUUUGAACCUCAUGUGUAUCAUUUUUGGUUUUCAGAUUAACUCUAUGUUUGUUUGUGUGCGUGUGUGUUUAACUACAUUGGCUUAUUCUGCUGCCCUCUACAUUUUUCUUAUUCAAAUUGCUUGUCGUUCUGUUUUUAGAAUAUCCUUUUUAAGGAAACUCCUACUCAUGGUGAGCUUCUUUCCCUAAUAGCUUCUUUUGCCACAGAAGCUUAAUUAGAACCACUCUAUUAAAAUUCACCUUCUUGAAAUCCAAAAUACGUGUUUCAUUAGGCUGAGUUUUAUUUUUCCUUAAAAUCAAGUACUCCAGCACUUUAUGGUUGAUGUUCUUGCUACUUUCACUUCCAUAGCUAAGUCUUCUUACUACUUAAAGAUAAAAGUAAAAGUUUCCCCUGUCCAGUCAUGUCCAACUCCAGGGAGAGAUGCUCAUCCCUUCUUUGUAGCCAAGGGCAUUGUAGCCAAUGACAAUGUGGUCAUGUGGCCAGCAUGACUAUAUGCCAAGGAGCAUAGAAAGCUGUUACUUUCCUACCGAAGUGGCACCUAUUUGUCUACUUGCAUUUGCAUGCUUUCAGACUUGUAGGUGGGCAGGAGCUGGGGCAAGUAGCAAAAGCUCAUGUCAUCACAAGGCACUCAGGUUUUGAACCCUGGCCUGUUAGCUUUCCAGCACACAAGCUCAGUGGCUUUAACUUUUUAUAUUGCAUGUAUUUUAACCCUGGCUGUUCACCGCCCUGAGUCCUUCAAGAGAAGGGCGGUAUAAAAAUUUAAUAAAUAAAAUAAAUAAACUGCUGAGCCAUCAUGCUCCCUAUUGUUAUAACUUACAUGGAGUCAAAAAGGACUUUUCUUGUGCCUUCUUGUACCUUCUGAAAGAGAAAGUAGUUAGCAAGAUAAACCAAAAAGUCUUAGAAUUCCUUGGAUGGAGUUUGCUUUCAGCUUUGGAAUGAUUAAAGUGCCACAAUAUUAAUUUUUGAUGCCUCUAUAAAAAAAUCUGUAGCAUUAUCUAUCUCUUCCCCAUAGUUAGGUGGGCUAUAGUUCUAACUACUCUAUUGCUUAUUUUAACCAGAUGCUCUCAACUGUAUCUCCAAAUUUAUUCACUUGAAUUUCUGAGCUAGUGAGAAUACUUUUAACAUUCAGUGUACUUCCCCUGAAUUUUUCUUUCAGUUCAGUUCUGUUUCCUUUGAACAAAUGUUAUCCUUUGAUCAUGAUCCUCAAACCAUGUGAGCCAUCCUGUUGAGUCUUCAUUUAUUUCAUUAAUUUAACAAUAUUUAUAAGCCAUAUCAAUCCAUAUGGAUUCUAGACAACAUACAGCGAGAUAUAUGAAAAUAAAAACAAUUGAGUGUGUGGAUGUGCACACCCACAGAGAAACUGGUCAUACAAAAGGUCAUGAAUUGCGCAGAAAUGGACAAAUUAAUGCUGAGUCUAAAAGAUAAAGAGGCAUCGAUAUUUUACAAUGUGUGGGAACAGUGGUAUAACUGGAUAGAAUGGAGAUAGAUUAAAGAUAGAUAGUUAU